AUGUUCUACAUACUUUGUAGUUUCAAUGAUGACACAUAUAUGUCAACUACGGGUGUUGGCUCCAACAAUUGUCAUUGGUCUCAAACCAAUGAAGUGCAUGAAGAUGAUCAUGAGUAUGAAGAGGAUGAGGAUGGUGAGGGUAUCAUCGAUGCACCGAAAGGAAGAGCGGGCAACUACACAAUUGACGAAGACAUCUUGCUAUGCGAUGCAUGGUUGCAUGUGUCUAUGGAUGCCAACAUUGGAGGGGACCAUAGUAGAGAUACAUAUUGGGUCCGGAUGAAGGAGCACUUUGAUUCACACAACAAGAAUGGAAUUGAGCGCACUGAUAGAUCUCUUCGCUCCGAGUGA
rnacentral:rRNA from 1 species